GGGGGCAACCCUGGUGGCGAGUGGCGAACGGGUGAGUAAUGCAUCGGAACGUGUCCUCUUGUGGGGGAUAACCAGUCGAAAGACUGGCUAAUACCGCAUGAGAUCGAAAGAUGAAAGCGGGGGACCGCAAGGCCUCGCGCGAGAGGAGCGGCCGAUGCCGGAUUAGCUAGUUGGUGGGGUAAAGGCCUACCAAGGCGACGAUCAGUAGCGGGUCUGAGAGGAUGAUCCGCCACACUGGAACUGAGACACGGUCCAGACUCCUACGGGAGGCAGCAGUGGGGAAUUUUGGACAAUGGGGGAAACCCUGAUCCAGCCAUUCCGCGUGAGUGAAGAAGGCCUUCGGGUUGUAAAGCUCUUUCAGCUGGAAAGAAACGGUACGCACUAACAUUGUGUGCUAAUGACGGUACCAGCAGAAGAAGCACCGGCUAACUACGUGCCAGCAGCCGCGGUAAUACGUAGGGUGCGAGCGUUAAUCGGAAUUACUGGGCGUAAAGCGUGCGCAGGCGGAUUGUUAAGCAAGAUGUGAAAUCCCCGGGCUUAACCUGGGAAUGGCAUUUUGAACUGGCAGUCUAGAGUGUGUCAGAGGGGGGUGGAAUUCCACGUGUAGCAGUGAAAUGCGUAGAUAUCUGGAGGAACACCGGUGGCGAAAGCGGCUCUCUGGCACGUUACUGACGCUGAGGCUCGAAAGCGUGGGGAGCGAACGGGAUUAGAUACCCCGGUAGUCCACGCCGUAAACGUUGUG
rnacentral:rRNA from 1 species